rnacentral:rRNA from 1 species
UGGGGAAUUGUUCGCAAUGGGCGCAAGCCUGACGACGCAACGCCGCGUGGAGGAUGAAGAUCUUCGGGUCGUAAACUCCUUUCGAUCGAGACGAAUUCCCCCGGGGUGAACAAUCCCGGGGGUUGACGGUACCGAGAGAAGAAGCCCCGGCUAACUCCGUGCCAGCAGCCGCGGUAAUACGGGGGGGGCAAGCGUUGUUCGGAAUUACUGGGCGUAAAGGGCUCGUAGGCGGCCAACUAAGUCAGACGUGAAAUCCCUCGGCUUAACCGGGGAACUGCGUCUGAUACUGGAUGGCUUGAGUUUGGGAGAGGGAUGCGGAAUUCCAGGUGUAGCGGUGAAAUGCGUAGAUAUCUGGAGGAACACCGGUGGCGAAGGCGGCAUCCUGGACCAACACUGACGCUGAGGAGCGAAAGCCAGGGGAGCAAACGGGAUUAGAUACCCCGGUAGUCC